rnacentral:snRNA from 1 species
AUACCUUUCUCGGCCUUUUGGCUAAGAUCAAGUGUAGUAUCUGUUCUUAUCAGUUUAAUAUCUGAUACGUGAGCCAGUGGCCCACACGAUAUUAACUUUAUUUUUUGAGGGGAAGGCCUGCUAAGGUAGCUUGCUACCUGGGUCUUCAAGCGUCGCCCAAGCGUUGCACUGCUGCUUGGGCCUGGCACACCUCAC